CAGCCGCCACGGGAAUACGUAGGGUGCGAGCGUUAAUCAGAAUUACUGGGCGUAAAGCGUGCGCAGGCGGUUGUGUAAGACAGGUGUGAAAUCCCCGGGCUUAACCUGGGAACUGCGCUUGUGACUGCACGGCUAGAGUAUGGCAGAGGGGGGUGGAAUUCCACGUGUAGCAGUGAAAUGCGUAGAGAUGUGGAGGAACACCGAUGGCGAAGGCAGCCCCCUGGGCCAAUACUGACGCUCAUGCACGAAAGCGUGGGGAGCAAACAGGAUUAGAUACCCGCGUAGUCCCUGUCUCUUAUAC
rnacentral:rRNA from 1 species